rnacentral:lncRNA from 1 species
GUUCGAACAGACAGGGACAGACAGGGCAUAGAUCCCAAGCCAGGACUCGGCCAUGCCUCGCUUUCCUUCAUCCCACACUGGUCUAGAGGGCGCAGGUGGUCCCCACGAGAUCAUGUGACCUCGGGAAAGCCUUUGCCCUCUCUGUCCUCAGUUGGCCCAUCCAGAGAGUGGCCCGCUCAGAAAGUGAAUACUUGCCUGGGUUUCGUGUGCACCAGAUUCAGCCCUUGGGGGGAGGUAACAUGUGGAUCCUCGCCCUCAUUUAUAGACUGGGAAACUGAGGCCCGCAAAGAUCAAGUCCUCGCCAAGAGUUACAUACGUGGACAGAGUCCUGGAACCCCAGCUCCGCUGCAGAGGAGAGGAGGCUGCAGCCCACAACCUCGGGGUCUGGAGUUUUCUGCGAGCUGGGAGGCAGCGUUGCUGGAGAGGUUGGUCACCCUUCCCCAGUGGCUCCGCCCAGACACCAUUCCCCCCAGCACCCUUGGCCCUCGGUCCCCAGAGCUUCCUGGACUGGGGAGGAGGGGACCGGGAGGGAGAAUGUGGACAGCGCCGCCUGCCGGGUUCUUGCCUCUGGGGGGAUUCUCGGUCUGUCUCUGCCGCUUUAUCUCCAUUCUCUUCACCGGGUCUCUGCAUCCCUGUCUCUGUCUCCGCGUGCGAGUCUUUGUCGCUCUCUUCUGUGUCUCCGUCUCUCCUUCUGUCUCUUUGUAUGUGUCUCUCGUUCCCUACGUUUCUCCCUCUUUCUGCCUUUCUCUUUUAGUCUCGCCAUUCUUUGGCUGUCUUUUUGUCUCUUUCUGAGUCUGUCUCUGCCUCUCUCAGUAUCUUUCUGUGCGCCUCUGGCUCUCUGCCUUGAUUGAUGUUUCUCUCCCCUUCUCCUCCGACGAGUCUUUACUCUCCGGUGAGAAGAGGCUGGCCGAGAACGCGCCCAGACCUGCCUCCGCCCCCAGAGCCCCGGGCCGCUCGGGGCCUGCGCCUUUAAGUGCUGGCGGCAGGGGGCGGGGUCUUGUCGGCCCCGCCCUGCCCGCCCCUCCCCGUGACGUCUCUUCCCAGCCCCUCCACCGCCUCCCUCCGCCGCCGCCGCCGCACCAGCCAGCUCUGCUGCGCCCACUCCCCGGCCUCCGCCCGCCGGCCUGCCCGCCGCCCCAUGGCGCCCCAGGCCCUAGUUGUGCGGGGCCGCUAGGACCCUAGGCGUCCCCUUCCCUCCCCUCCUCCCACGGCGCGAACCCGGGUGUCCCCGGCGCCCAGCUAUGGAGCUUCGCGUCUCUGAAGAGAGGGGACCCCCCCCCCUCGACCUCGCCGCCCAGUCUCCUGGGACCCGGAGAAAAUGUCUUCGCGGACGGCGCUCGCCCCGGGCAACGACCGGAACUCGGACACGGACCCGCGCAGGACAAAUGUCAAGAACUCAUGUGCAAGUGUGACCAGGCGGUUGCUUACUGCUUAGCCCAAACUGAGUACAACAUCAAGUACCUCUUCUACCCCCGUUUUCUGUGUGAGAAGGACUCACCCAAAUGUGACUGACUAGCCUGACUUGAAAUGUCUUUUUUGCACAAGGAAAUAAAACUCCUUUUUGC